GAGAUUUUGGCAUCCAUGUUGAUUUCCGGAAGAAUCUAGAAGCGUGAGAUAUCCAUGUGUUAGGAAUCCACUCAUAAUCUACACCUUGCCGUUGCAUCCUUGACUGUCUCCAGUCAAAAUGAACAGAGGAGGGUCGAUAGCGUUUGAUGAAUAUGGACGGCCAUUUAUUAUCUUAAAAGAUGAAGAAUCUAAGAGCCGUUUAACCGGUAUCGAGGCUCACAAGUCUCACAUUUUGGCAGCCAAAUCAGUUGCAAACAUCCUGAAGACCUCACUGGGUCCAAAAGGUUUAGACAAAAUGAUGCAGAGUCCAGAUGGGGACCUCACAAUCACAAAUGAUGGUGCCACCAUCUUAGACAUGAUGGAUGUUGACCACCAGAUUGCAAAAUUGAUGGUGCAGUUAUCCAAGUCACAAGAUGAUGAAAUUGGAGAUGGAACCACUGGGGUUGUUGUGCUAGCAGGUGCUCUGUUAGAGCAUGCUGAGCAGCUUCUGGACCGAGGCAUCCAUCCCAUCCGUGUUGCUGACGGUUACGAGAUGGCAGCUAAAGUGGCAGUGGAGGAACUGAAUAGGAUAAGCGAGACAUUUGGUGUGAAUCUCAAAGAGUCUGAACCACUGGUCAAACUGGCAAUGACAACGCUUGGAUCAAAAAUUGUGAACCGAUGCCACAGGCAGAUGGCAGAAAUAGCAGUAAAUGCAAUCAUGGCUGUUGCCGACUUAGACAGGAAGGACGUUGACUUCGAGCUCAUCAAAAUUGAGAGUAAAGUCGGAGGCAAGCUGGAAGACACAAUGCUGGUGAAGGGAGUUAUAGUGGACAAGGACAUGAGCCACCCACAGAUGCCCAAGUUGGUCAAGGAUGCCAAAAUGGCCAUCUUGACAUGUCCCUUUGAGCCACCUAAGCCCAAAACCAAGCACAAGCUUGAUGUCAAGUCUGUUGAAGACUACAAGAAGCUGAGGGAAUAUGAAGUAAAGAAAUUUGAAGACAUGGUGCAGUCGGUGAAGGACAAGGGAGCUAAUCUAGUCAUCUGCCAGUGGGGCUUUGAUGAUGAAGCCAACCACCUCUUGCUGCAGAAGGAGCUGCCAGCUGUCCGGUGGGUUGGUGGACCAGAAAUCGAGUUGAUAGCCAUUGCAACUGGAGGUAGAAUUGUUCCACGGUUUGAGGAACUGACCCCCGAGAAGCUGGGAAGUGCCGGCAUUGUGAGGGAGUUGAACUUUGGAACAACCAAAGAGAGAAUGUUGGUCAUCGAGGAGUGCAAGAACUCCAGAGCGGUCACCAUCUUCAUCAGGGGAGGCAACAAGAUGAUUGUGGAGGAAGCUAAGCGAAGUCUUCACGAUGCUUUAUGUGUAAUCCGCAACAUUGUCCGAGACAACCGCGUGGUGUAUGGAGGUGGUGCACCUGAGAUUGCCUGCUCUCUAGCUGUGUCUAAAGCUGCAGAUAAGAUUUCCACUCUAGAACAGUAUGCAGUCCGUGCAUUCUCUGAAGCUUUGGAAAGCAUUCCUUUGGCACUGGCAGAAAACAGUGGUCAGGCCCCAAUCCACACACUAGCUGACGUGAAAUCUAGACAAGUCAAGGAGAAGAACCCAAGGCUUGGCAUUGACUGUCUCUUGAAAGGAACAAAUGAUAUGAAGGAACAGAAUGUGAUCGAGACCCUAACUGCCAAGAAACAGCAGCUGCUAUUAGCCACACAACUGGUUAGGAUGAUCCUCAAGAUAGAUGACAUCCGAGCUCCAAAUGAAAUGUGAUCCUAUCAGGACUGUGUAGAACACCAAUCUAUUUAUUUCACUUGACAUUGCCAACGGCCAGACCACUCUGAAAUACUGCCUGCCAGAUGUUGAAAUGCCUCUGAAAGCCAGUUGGUCUGAAACAUUUGGCAUAUUGUGUAAUGUCAUGGACAGGUCAAGUGACUACUGCAUCAUCAGUGCUAUCUCUUCUGCUUCAUAUUUUUUUGCAACCAUGGUGUGAAUUCUUUUGUGUACAUAUGUCUUUUUGUACAACAUUCAGUGCAGAUAUACAAAUUAAAAAAAAACUGGAA